UGACUGAAGGAAGAUUGAGAAGACAGGCCGAGGGGUGGGAUAUAGCACUGCAUAUUAUUUUUUUAAUUUUUUCCCUUCUUUCAUGUAUUUUCUCUACAAGCAGAUCAAAAUUUAACAAAUUGAAAAUGUUCUUUAUAAUUUAUACCAAAUGUGGAGUUAACAACACUAAGUAUGCAAUUUUGUAUAGAAUACCAGUAUAGGUUGUGGUACACUUUUCAUUUCUGAUGUUUCCUUCUUUUCUCUAGAACAAGCAGUUGAUUCGAAACGUAAAGCAUUGAGAUGUUGUAGAAAACUCCGGGCUGAUGAUUCAAAAUGCAAAAGAACUUGUCGACAGGAUCUUCAGUCACAAAAAAGUGAAACAACACUGAUUUCAAAUCUUGUCAAAGCUUGCGGAGAACCAUUAGCCCAUAACAACACAGAGCGUGAUGAGUUUUGGACUUGCCUUCUGGCCAAUGCAGGUGAAAACCCUUCUCCAGCUUGUCCAACCAAUCCACCUCCAUUACCAGAUUCAGGAGUUGAUUUUGCAAGGGUACAGUGCUGCUCAAAAGCUACUGAUUCUCGUUGUUGGCGCUUGUGUGUUCAGAUGUACACAUCAAAGUGGGGAAGGAAUCAGAACUGGGAGGCAUUUGAUGCAGAAUGUUCAUACAAUCCUAAAGAGGUAUGUUUUGCAAUUGAACUUAUUUAUUUAUGAUGUGAAGUGUAUAUGAAAUAAUUCAUAUUUGAACUGCGGUUGUAGAUGAAAGCGA